rnacentral:rRNA from 1 species
GGCGGAGUUGUAGCACACUCUAAGCGUAGUAGUUUUCCAUUGCCUCGCUUGCAGAGCGGCCUCAGCUGCCAGCCGUAAAGCCCUAUACUUCUAGUGGUUGACCUCGGAUUAGGUAGGAAUACCCGCUGAACUUAAGCAUA